AAUCAACGCUGGCGGCGCGCUUAACACAUGCAAGUCGAACGAGAAAGCCGGAGCAAUCUGGUGAGUAAAGUGGCGUACGGGUGAGUAACACGUGGGUUACCUGCCCUCUGGUGGGGAAUAACCCUGGGAAACCGGGGCUAAUACCGCAUAUGUCCGCGAGGACAAAGCCGAAAGGCGCCGGAGGAGGGGCCCGCGGCCGAUUAGCUAGUUGGUAGGGUAACGGCCUACCAAGGCUAUGAUCGGUAGCCGGCCUGAGAGGGCACACGGCCACACUGGCACUGAAACACGGGCCAGACUCCUACGGGAGGCAG
rnacentral:rRNA from 1 species